rnacentral:rRNA from 1 species
UACGAAGGGGGCUAGCGUUGCUCGGAAUCACUGGGCGUAAAGGGUGCGUAGGCGGGUCUUUAAGUCAGGGGUGAAAUCCUGGAGCUCAACUCCAGAACUGCCUUUGAUACUGAAGAUCUUGAGUUCGGGAGAGGUGAGUGGAACUGCGAGUGUAGAGGUGAAAUUCGUAGAUAUUCGCAAGAACACCGGUGGCGAAGGCGGCUUCCUGGUCUGCAACUGACGCUGUGGCGCGAAAGCUAGGGGAGCAAACGGG